UGGAUAGCUCAGGAGGUUAGAGCUUGGUGCUGACAAUGCCAAGGUCGCAGGUUCGUUCCCCGUAAGGACAG